rnacentral:rRNA from 1 species
UACGGAGGAUGCAAGCGUUAUCCGGAAUGAUUGGGCGUAAAGCGUCCGCAGGUGGCAAUGUAAGUCUGCUGUCAAAGCGUCUGGCUCAACCAGAUAAAGGCAGUGGAAACUACAUAGCUAGAGUAAGGUAGGGGUAGAGGGAAUUCCUGGUGUAGCGGUGAAAUGCGUAGAGAUCAGGAAGAACACCGGUGGCGAAAGCGCUCUGCUGGACCUGCACUGACACUGAGGGACGAAAGCUAUGGGAGCGAAAGGG